GACGAACGCUGGUGGCGUGCUUAACACAUGCAAGUCGAACGGAAAGGCCCUGCUUUUGUGGGGUGCUCGAGUGGCGAACGGGUGAGUAACACGUGAGUAACCUGCCCUUGACUUUGGGAUAACUUCAGGAAACUGGGGCUAAUACCGGAUAGGAGCUCCUGCUGCAUGGUGGGGGUUGGAAAGUUUCGGCGGUUGGGGAUGGACUCGCGGCUUAUCAGCUUGUUGGUGGGGUAGUGGCUUACCAAGGCUUUGACGGGUAGCCGGCCUGAGAGGGUGACCGGCCACAUUGGGACUGAGAUACGGCCCAGACUCCUACGGGAGGCAGCAGUGGGGAAUAUUGCACAAUGGGCGGAAGCCUGAUGCAGCAACGCCGCGUGCGGGAUGACGGCCUUCGGGUUGUAAACCGCUUUCGCCUGUGACGAAGCGUGAGUGACGGUAAUGGGUAAAGAAGCACCGGCUAACUACGUGCCAGCAGCCGCGGUGAUACGUAGGGUGCGAGCGUUGUCCGGAUUUAUUGGGCGUAAAGGGCUCGUAGGUGGUUGAUCGCGUCGGAAGUGUAAUCUUGGGGCUUAACCCUGAGCGUGCCUUCGAUACGGGUUGACUUGAGGAAGGUAGGGGAGAAUGGAAUUCCUGGUGGAGCGGUGGAAUGCGCAGAUAUCAGGAGGAACACCAGUGGCGAAGGCGGUUCUCUGGGCCUUUCCUGACGCUGAGGAGCGAAAGCGUGGGGAGCGAACAGGCUUAGAUACCCUGGUAGUCCACGCUGUAAACGGUGGGUACUAGGUGUGGGGUCCAUUCCACGGGUUCCGUGCCGUAGCUAACGCUUUAAGUACCCCGCCUGGGGAGUACGGCCGCAAGGCUAAAACUCAAAGGAAUUGACGGGGCCCCGCACAAGCGGCGGAGCAUGCGGAUUAAUUCGAUGCAACGCGUAGAACCUUACCUGGGUUUGACAUGGAUCGGGAGUGCUCAGAGAUGGGUGUGCCUCUUUUGGGGUCGGUUCACUGGUGGUGCAUGCCUGUCGUCAGCUCGUGUCGUGAGAUGUUGGGUUAAGUCCCGCAACGAGCGCAACCCUUGUUCACUGUUGCCAGCACGUUAUGGUGGGGACUCAGUGGAGACCGCCGGGGUCAACUCGGAGGAAGGUGGGGAUGACGUCAAGUCAUCAUGCCCCUUAUGUCCAGGGCUUCACGCAUGCUACAAUGGCUGGUACAGAGAGUGGCGAGCCUGUGAGGGUGAGCGAAUCUCGGAAAGCCGGUCUCAGUUCGGAUUGGGGUCUGCAACUCGACCUCAUGAAGUCGGAGUCGCUAGUAAUCGCAGAUCAGCAACGCUGCGGUGAAUACGUUCCCGGGGCU
rnacentral:rRNA from 1 species